rnacentral:rRNA from 1 species
UACGGGGGGAGCAAGCGUUGUUCGGAUUUACUGGGCGUAAAGGGCGCGUAGGCGGUCAGCACAAGUCAGUUGUGAAAUCUCCGAGCUUAACUCGGAACGGUCAACUGAUACUGUGCGACUAGAGUGCGGAAGGGGCAACUGGAAUUCUCGGUGUAGCGGUGAAAUGCGUAGAUAUCGAGAGGAACACCUGCGGCGAAGGCGGGUUGCUGGGCCGUCACUGACGCUGAUGCGCGAAAGCCAGGGGAGCGAACGGG